AAAAAGCAGUCCUAGAGACAGGAACCAAAGCUGCACAAGCCUUUGCAACAAAACCAUAGGCGAGAAUCAGGAUUGUCUUUGCCUGUAUUCAUUCUGGACAUGUUCUUUUACACCUGCCAGAGGAAAGGCCCAGCUUUGAUCAGAGAGAUUGAGACAUUCUUCCUAAGGAUACCCCAUAGCUCAGCUGUGGUGGCGUUUUGAAGUUUCUCUUCAGAGUAGAGAAAAGUUGCUGCUAUUUUGGUCAAUGGUGUGAGAAGGAAUUUAAAGCAAGAUAGCUGGACUUCCUCCUUCAGACCUGAAGAAGCAUUUCUGUCCCCAUGGAUUUAGGACUUUCCAGAACAACACAUCUGUCACCAAAGGAUGAUAUUUAUAGAGUUCAAAUAUUGGAAUUAUACUGAAGAUUAAGUAGAAUACAACCACAACACUGGAGUAAUACUUCAACGAGUCAUUACAUAAAUAAAGCACUA